rnacentral:rRNA from 1 species
CACGUAGGGGCCAAGCGUUGUCCGGAUUUAUUGGGCGUAAAGAGCUCGUAGGCGGUUGGGUAAGUCGGGUGUGAAAACUCCAGGCUCAACUUGGAGACGCCACCCGAUACUGCUCUGACUUGAGUUCGGUAGGGGAGUGGGGAAUUCCUGGUGUAGCGGUGAAAUGCGCAGAUAUCAGGAGGAACACCGGUGGCGAAGGCGGGUCUCUGGGCCGGUACCGACGCUGAGGAGCGAAAGCGUGGGGAGCGAACAGG